UUCUUACUCCAAAUUUUGAUUUUAAUGUACUUUUUCGAGCCUUUUCGUGAUCUUUGCUAUAUUACGGGCGAAAAUUAUAUGUUCGGACAUUGUUUUCGAAUAUUUUGCAUGUAUCAAAGCUCUUAUAAACAAGAUAAGGUAUUCCUACAUAGUUGGUGAAACCCACGGCAAAUGGAUCAUAAAGUCUUCAAAAAAGAAUUGAUACGAUUGCAUUGCAUGUAGUAACGAAUACGAUCAUACCAGCACUAAUGCACCAGAUCCCAUCAGAACUCCGCAGUUAAGCGUGCUUGGGCGAGAGUAGUACUAGGAUGGGUGACCUCCUGGAAAGUCUUUGUGUUGCAUCCCUCUUUUUUUUCGGUUUUUCUCUUUUUUUU
rnacentral:sRNA from 1 species